UACAGAGGUGGCAAGCGUUGUUCGGAAUUACUGGGCGUAAAGGGCGCGUAGGCGGCCUACUAAGUCAGACGUGAAAUCCCCCGGCUUAACCUGGGAACUGCGUCUGAUACUGGAAGGCUUGAGGAUGGGAGAGGGAUGUAGAAUUCCAGGUGUAGCGGUGAAAUGCGUAGAUAUCUGGAGGAAUACCGGUGGCGAAGGCGGCAUCCUGGGACCAUUACUGACGCUGAGGCGCGAAAGCUAGGGGAGCAAACGGGG
rnacentral:rRNA from 1 species